UUUGGGGAGUCUCACAUCUGGUCUCAGAGUUAGCUUUCGGUUCUGAUUCCCAGAGAACUGCUUCGGCGGGAAAGCUAGACUCUAUUUAGGUGUUUUACCCGCGUAGUAACUUCGCGGAGUCAAUUCGUCAGCCUACGGAGCGAGUUGUGUCUGGACAGCGCGCUCCGAUUCAAGCCUCGCUCCUGCUCAAGCCUUGCCUAGCUAUCCAGCCUUCGCCUUGCUUCCCAGCCUUUGUUUAUCUACGGACUUUGCCUUGUUUCCCAGGAUCAAUCCUUGCCUUGUUCCACGGAUUUAUCAAGUUAUUCCACGGACCUUGUUCUUGUUCUUAGUUACCUUGUUCCACGUUCAAGCCUUGUUUCAAGUAUCAAGUUAUUUCCUAGCCUCGCUCAAGUUUCAUGGACUAAAGGACCUUGUCAUCUCCCCUCACUUUGCUUGGCAAAGUGAGUGUUUCGGUUAUUGGAUUACAACUUUGGACCUUAAUAUUUCUUAUUGGACAUUGCUUUUUUGGACUAAUUCUGACCUUUCCUGAAAGGUCUAAUUCUGGACUAUUUUCUACACUUGUUUUUAUUAACUUUAUAUAUUCCUACAAUAAAGAUAUUAGAUAGAUUCUGGCCUCUGUGUAUGGUUAUUGGUGCUCUGCAGCCUGGGUCGUGACAGGCCUGCAGUGGUCCAUGUUCAGCUUCAAGGAAAGCUAUCCCAGCCAGGAAGAAUCAAGUAGUUCAUCAUCUUCCUCUGAAUCAAGCAGCAGCAGCUCCAGCAGCUCCAGCAGCUCUAGUCCCAAAAGCAGCAGCUCCAGCCACAGAAGCAGCAGCUCCAGUCGCAAGAGAAGCAGCAGCUCCAGUAGCAGAAGCAGCAGCAGCUCCAGUAGCAGAAGCAGCAGUGAUUCAAGCCAGUCACAAAAAUCUCAAAACCGUCGAGAUGAGCUUACACCUUACUUCACUGUUGAGGCUCGGGCACAUAGGAGUGACAACAAAGAUCAGGGCUACAAUUUGUCCAUGUACAUGGAGCAUGAAAGCUACAAUUUCCAUAUCAAAAUGAUUGCAAAAGAGCUUGCCAAAACUAAGUGGAGAGCCUGUUUUGAUAGCCAGGUGUUACCUUACAAAUUCCAGGUAAAUAUUUUUCCCAUUUCUGGUUUUUGUUCAGUUUUUGCAAUUUGAAAUAUAUUUUCAGCAAUGUUUCCAAAAGUACACAAUUUUAUGAGAAUGAUCUUUUUAAAAAACAAAUCACACAAAAUAACAGCUGUAACAGCACAAAACAUAACACCACAAAAAGUAAGAUAUGAGUAAAUGACUGGUUUGGGGUUACAAAUCACUUCAGAGUGAAAGCCUCCUCAGUUCUUCCAAGUCAAUUGAAUUCAUGGCAGUAUCAGCAAUUCUCUGAAAUAUUUCAGAAAUAAGUAUAUUAGCAAACCUGAACUAUUCAUUAGUUCCUCAACAAUUAUAGAAGGAAGUAUUUUUGAGUUUGAGGAAGGAGGUAAAUCUGAAAUCUGACGCAAUCACCACUUGAAAUCGUUCAAACUGUAGUUUGGCAAAUCAUAACUGAUAUUAUAAUAAGAGGACAGGGAUUUUCUGCAAUUUAGGGUAGACAGAGUCCACAGUUACCUGUUGAAGGUAAUAAACUCAAUCCAAUUAUAGUAGAUAAAGUUACAAUAGACCUAGCUGUCAGUUGGAUUUACAUAAACAAUUGAUUUCAUGGGUCUACUCUAACAAUGGAAAGAUUUUAAAUGAAUACUCAAAAUUCCAAACAAAAGGGGUUUCCCAUGUGUCCAUAAUGAGGAAAAUCUUGGAUGGACAUUCAGGGCUCAUUCUACAUGAAAAGUAAGGGUUUUUCACAGAAAAAUGCAUUUUCUGCACAUAAAUGUUCUCUUC
ensembl:lncRNA